rnacentral:rRNA from 1 species
UACGGAGGGUGCAAGCGUUAUCCGGAUUCAUUGGGCUUAAAGCGCGCGUAGGCGGGCCUGUAAGUCUGUGGUGAAAUCUCCCAGCUUAACUUGGAAACUGCCAUGGAUACUAUAUGUCUUGAAUGUUGUGGAGGUUAGCGGAAUAUGUCAUGUAGCGGUGAAAUGCAUAGAUAUGACAUAGAACACCAAUUGCGAAGGCAGCUGGCUACACAAAUAUUGACGCUGAGGCACGAAAGCGUGGGGAUCAAACAGG